CUCUUCCUUCCGCCUUCACAAGCCUUAUCCCGAAAUCCUGGAACCUCUAGGUCUUGGCCAGUUAACUAGCAGCGGGCUCUGCAGUGGACCUCGAGGUUUGCUGAGAGCCGUGUUCUUGCGGCGGAGGCAGAAGCGAGACGUCUCCGGACGCCCUCCCACGCGGCGGGACCCCGCAAUACCCGGGUCUGGCCUGGACCUCGCCAGGGGAAGGUGGGCGGGGGAUCCGUGUUGCUGCCCCGUGGUCUGGGGGCGGGUGUAUCGGAGACCCGUUAGGAGCUAGCGCAUGACUAGUAUGGGGACCGAGUGUCCGGCCCUGCCUGCUGCCUUGCGGGGCAAGGGGGUUGCAGUGGGAGGAAAAGUUCCACAAUAGCGCUGGCGGUCGGCUGGAGGAGAGGGCGUGAUGGGGUCUGCGGAGCAGCGCUGCUCUGGAUCCGGCGUUGCUGUGAUCGUUUACUGCUGUGUAAUCUGUGACCUUGGGCCAAAGAAGUAACCUGCGGGAGAGUCAGGCAUCUGUGUCCUUCAAGGAUGUGACUGUGGAGUUUACCCAGGAGGAGUGGCGGCAGAUGAGCCCUGCUCGGAGGACCCUGUACAGAGAUGUGAUGCUGGAGAACUACAGCCACCUUGUGUCUUCGGUCUUUUUAGGGCCUCCAGCCUAUACCACAGCCACAGCCACAGAGGAUCCAAGCCACAUCUGUGACAUACACCACAUCUCACAGCAGAGCCAUAUCCUUAACCCACUGAGUGAGGCCAGAGAUCAAACCCGAGUCCUCAUGGAUACUAGUCUGGUUCAUUACUGCUGAGCCACAACGGGAAACUUCCUAUUGGCAUAGAUCCCUUAUUUCAUAAAGAGUUGCAAGACAGUGAUAAUACAUGGAAUCCUGAUUCAAGAAGGAAAUAAGAGCAACAGCAGGAAAAGGCUUGUACCCUCUACCUGAACUCUGGCUUCUGUUGCACUGUGAGACUAUCCAUGAACUUGACCACAGUAAGAGCUUCGCCUUUGAUUUGUCCAGAUUUAAGGGCUAAUCACCAAGAAGUAAUGCGCAACAUGUAAAGCUUAGCAGCCUGUGUUUGUAGUCAAGCAGACCUGAGUUCAAGCCUUGGCUUUGCUAUUAUGGGCUCUGUGACCAUGGAAAACCCCUUAACCUCUCUGUGCUCUGCAAAAUGGGGACUAUCACUCCAGCCACCUCAUAGGGCUGUGACAAAGAUGGAAUACUUUAAAGCACAUUACAAUGCCUUUCAGCAUAUGGCACUCAGUAUGGUGACAUGUUGAUUCACUUAGCUAUUAUUAUUAAUUGUUAUUACUACACUUUUUUUUUUUUUUUUGGCUGUGCCCAGAGCAUGCAAAAGUUCCCAGGCCAGGGAUUGAACUGAUGCCACUGCAGUGACCCAAGCCACUGCAGUGACAACACCGGAUCAGCAACGUACACUUUUUCAUACCCUUUAAAAGUUAAAGAGCUCUGAAAUCCAUAUGCUGUAGGUGUCCCUGCACCAAAACACCUAUGCCCUCAUCCUCUGACCCAUCUUGGAUAACCACAUCUCAAAUAGUGGUUGAAAAUUCAAGUACUAAGGCAUUCUGACUCAGAAAUUUUCUAAAUUUAGAGAAUAUUGUCCUUUGCAAUGCUCCGUGAUAAUAGCUUUCUCUGUUAGAAAUUGAAGCAUUUUUGAGACAACACUACACAGAAAAACAAAGUGAUUAAAACAAGAAAUUACUGGAGUUCCUGUUGUGGCACAGUGAAUUAAGAAUCCAACUGCAGCUGGUUGGGUUGCUGCAGAGGCUCAGGUUUGAUCCCAGGCCCUGGAACUUCCCAUAUGCCACAGAUAUGGCCAUAAAA
ensembl:lncRNA